rnacentral:rRNA from 1 species
GAUCAUGGCUCAGGACGAACGCUGGCGGCGUGCUUAACACAUGCAAGUCGAACGAUGAUGCCCAGCUUGCUGGGUGGAUUAGUGGCGAACGGGUGAGUAACACGUGAGUAACCUGCCCCUGACUCUGGGAUAAGCGUUGGAAACGACGUCUAAUACUGGAUAUGACGGCCGAUCGCAUGGUCUGGUCGUGGAAAGAUUUUUUGGUUGGGGAUGGACUCGCGGCCUAUCAGCUUG